UUUAAAGGAUAUAAGAUUAAUCCAUUGGUUUUAGGCACCAAAAAUCUUGGUGCAAA
rnacentral:tRNA from 1 species